CAGUCGCCGCGGUAAUACGUAGGGUGCGAGCGUUAAUCGGAAUUACUGGGCGUAAAGCGUGCGCAGGCGGUUGUGUAAGACAGGUGUGAAACCCCCGGGCUUAACCUGGGAACUGCGCUUGUGACUGCACAGCUAGAGUAUGGCAGAGGGGGGUGGAAUUCCACGUGUAGCAGUGAAAUGCGUAGAGAUGUGGAGGAACACCGAUGGCGAAGGCAGCCCCCUGGGCCAAUACUGACGCUCAUGCACGAAAGCGUGGGGAGCAAACAGGAUUAGAUACCCCUGUAGUCCCUGUCUCUUAUAA
rnacentral:rRNA from 1 species